rnacentral:rRNA from 1 species
CCCCUAGAUGUUCUGGGCCGCACGCGCGCUACACCGAACAGUUCAACAAGUCUUAACCUUGGCCGAUAGGUCUGGGUAAUCUUUGAACGCUGUUCGUGACUGGGAUAGACCUUUGCAAUUAUGGGUCUUCAACGAGGAAUUCCUAGUAAACGCAAGUCAUCAGCUUGCAUUGAUUACGUCCCUGCCCUUUGUACACACCGCCCGUCGCACCUACCGAUUGAAUGGUCCGGUGAAAUCUCGGGACGGCGGCUUGGUCGCUUGCGUCCGACUGCUGAAACUUGAUUAAACCAUAUCAUUUAGAGGAAGGUGAAGUCGUAACA